AUACGUAGGGGGCGAGCGUUGUCCGGAAUGAUUGGGCGUAAAGGGCGCGUAGGCGGCUUUGCAAGUCAGUAGUGGAAGUCCAUUUUUCAAGGAUGGAAGUGCUACAGAAACUGCGGAGCUUGAGUGCAGGAGAGGUUAUCGGAAUUCCCGGUGUAGCGGUGAAAUGCGUAGAGAUCGGGAGGAACACCAGUGGCGAAGGCGGGUAACUGGACUGCAACUGACGCUGAGGCGCGAAAGUGUGGGGAGCAAACAGGAUUAGAUACUCUGGUAGUCCACACUGUAAACGAUGAAUGCUAGGUGUAGGAGGUAUCGACCCCUUCUGUGCCGCAGUAAACACAGUAAGCAUUCCGCCUGGGGAGUACGGUCGCAAGAUUAAAACUCAAAUGAAUUGACGGGG
rnacentral:rRNA from 1 species